AAUAUUGGACUAUGGGCGCAAGCCUGAUCCAGCCAUGCCGCGUGAGUGAUGAAGGNCCNNGGGUUNUNAAGCUCUUUUGUCCGNNNNNAUAAUGACGGUACCGGAAGAACAAGCCCCGGCGACCUUCGUGCCAGCAGCCGCGGUAAUACGAAGGGGGCUAGCGUUGCUCGGAAUCACUGGGCGUAAAGGGCGCGUAGGCGGACGUUUAAGACAGGGGUGAAAACCCGGGGCUCAACCUCGGAAUUGCCUUUGAUACUGGAUGUCUCGAGACCGGAAGAGGUAAGUGGAACUGCGAGUGUAGAGGUGAAAUUCGUAGAUAUUCGCAAGAACACCAGUGGCGAAGGCGGCUUACUGGUCCGGUUCUGACGCUGAGGCGCGAAAGCGUGGGGAGCAAACAGG
rnacentral:rRNA from 1 species